rnacentral:rRNA from 1 species
AUGACUAUCCUAAGUUGGAACUGCCGGGGGGUGGGGAACUCCUGGACAGUUCGAGACCUAGCGACUAUGAUCCAGUCGCAUUCCCCUAGCUUGGUUUUCCUUUGUGAAACUAGGCAAAGUAAGGAUAAGAUGAAAAGCUACCGAAAUAGGUUUGGUCUACGAGGUUUUGAAGGUGUUAGCAGUGAUGGUAAUAGCGGGGGGCUUGCUCUCUAUUGGCAUGAAAAUUGGACAGUGGAUAUUAGGCUUGCAAAUUCAAGAUGCAUUGAUGCACACAUCCAAGCUCCUGGAGAGACUAAAUGGCACCUGACAUGCGUGUAUGGAGAGCCUCGUGUUGAGAAUAGACACUUAAUGUGGUCCUUGAUGGAAGAUAUAGCUACCCAGAACGUUCUUCCUUGGCUGGCUGUUGGAGAUUUUAAUGAAGCCUUGUGGGAUUUUGAACAUUUUUCCAACACGCCGCGUGCGCCGGCCCAAAUGCUUGCUUUUCGGGAUUCACUUGAAGUGUGCGAGCUGACUGAUUUGGGUUUUGUUGGAAGGCCAUAUACUUUUGAUAAUAAGAGGAGUGGUGCAGCAAAUGUUAAAGUACGGUUAGAUCGUGGAGUUGCAAAUCUGGAUUGGAGGUACAUGUUCCCUGCUGCCUCAAUCCAUCAUCUUGUUUCACCCCGGUCGGAUCAUUGUCCAUUGCUUGUCAAGGGCGAAGCUGAUUCGGGCCCAAAACCUAAGAAAGUUAAGCGCUAUGAGAUCAUGUGGGAGAGGGAUUCUGCCCUCACAGAAGUUAUUGCAAACAUGUGGAAAGAUGCGGGCCAAAAACGUACACUUGGGGAGAUUGGUCAAGCUUUGGGGAAGGUAAUGACCUCAUUGCAUCAAUGGAGCAGAGCCAAAAUUGGCAAUGUAACUAGGGAGAUUGAGAAGUCUCGUACGAGGCUAGAGGAGCUAAUGAAUAUGAAUGCGGACCGACCCGAACUGAGAAAGGAGGAGGAUAAAAUGAAUGAAUUACUAUACCGAGAAGAGAUGAUGUGGUUGCAAAGGUCUCGUAUUGCUUGGUUAAAAGAAGGGGACCGAAAUACAAAAUUUUCCCAUGCCAAAGCGAUCUGGCGGGCGAGGAAAAACAGUAUUAAAAAACUUGAAGAUACAAAUGGAGUUGUUCAUUCUGGAGAUGCAAUGGGCCAGGCUGCUACUUCUUACUUUCAAAACAUCUUCACUGCCGACCCCUUGCUUGAUCCAUUUCCUAUUGUACAGCUCAUGCAAACACAUGUUAAUGAUGAAAUUAAUGAGUCUUUAUGUGCUGAGUUUACUGAACAGGAGAUAGCGGGUGCUGUUUUCCAAAUUGGACCGCUAAAGGCCCCGGGAUUGGAUGGAUUUCCUGCUCAAUUCUUCCAAAGAAACUGGUCCACGGUGCGUGCAGAUGUUAUAGCAGCAGUUAAGGAAUUCUUUAACUCAAGUAUCAUGCCAGAUUCUGUUAAUGAUACAAUCAUUGUUCUGAUUUGA